UCUGGGAUCUGCUGGUAUAAGAGCUCUCCUCUCAUUUCAGUGAAGAGGCCCUUUUAGCUCAUCUCAGCUUGUUUUCAGCAGGUGCUUUUGGGCAUGUGGAGCAACAGAGGCUUUGAAGGAGGAGCACAACUUCCAGAAAUCCCAGGUUGUGUCAAGUACCCCCCUUUUUCAGCAGAUUCAUCACAUCACAAAAGGGACCUGCCUUGUGUCAAAGAUGAUGUUUGAGAUUGAGGAUUGUGACUAGGAGAGGGAAGCUGACUGAGAGGUUAACACGCGAUUGUGGCAGAGGUGCUCUGUGGCAGACUCAUUUCAGGUUCAACCUGGAUUCACAUCACCGGUCAUCCAGAAGAUAAGUCAGGGGCCACGGCCUGGAGAUGCAGAUGGAUAAAAACGGUGGCACAGCACUCCAUCCCAGGAAGUAAAGCCAUCUAGCAGCAGUCAAGGCAAAGUGGUCAAGGCAAUCCAUUUGGAGUAUGCAUAACUCCCCGUCACACACUGGCCGAUGGACUGUGAUCGCUGCUCUCAUGAGCCCUGUGGAAGUAUUACCGGACUUGAUGAUGAAGCCUCUGCCUUUUCUAUUUAAAGGUGUCACCCGGGGACCCUUUAGCAACAGCCGAGGAGUUGCGGUGAGUUGGGAAAUAGGGAGGAGGAGCGAGGGUCCACUCUGGUUGCAGCAAUGCCACAUCACCCUCUCUCCUCUUAACCGAGGUGAACCCUGCGAUGACGAGUCAGCGUCUGAGCGCAGCGGAAGCGUGCGGCAUUCAUAAGAGACCCAGGCAUUGUUAGGAGAAUGCUGACUAAGAGACAACGGCCCGGUGACAGCAAGAACUUCCCAGACGGCGAGGCGGCCUUCUUCUGCACCUGACACAGAGCAGCAUCUGCAGAUAAGUCGAGGGCUAUGACCCACAGAGGGGAUGAUAGUGGGGUGCUGGGUUGGGCCUCACAGGGAGGGGGUUUUGAGCCUGCUUUGGAGAUGGGGAUGUCCAAGAAGUGGCCCCUUAGGCCACACAAAAACCAAGUGUCACUUUUGAUCACAAUGCUGAGGUGCGCAGGGCAGAGCAGUCCCGGAGUGUAUUGUGUCGCUUGUCUAUCGUGCGUUCUAUGUGUUUGGCUGUCUCAUGUCUUUUACCUUAGCCCUUUGAGGGGCCUAUCAGAAACCCUGGCAUCAUUUUUGGCAUCUGUGAUCUCUGCAUUUUAUGGCCUGGCACCAAUGACACAGGACUUUUGACUCAGGAGCUUGGACCGGCAUUGGAAUUGCACCUCUCUUUAGGAGCAUCCAGUCAGAUAUCUUUGCAGGUCUUGUUCUGAGCUGUACGUACUGCUGUGCAUUGCAAGGAUCCAUUAUGGCAGAUUAGGGCUUGUAAGAAUGUGAGGAUAGGUAGAGGAUUCUGACCAUAGGAUUCACAGGCAUCCAUCUUUGCAGUUCUUAGAAGGAGCCAUUCUCUUAGCAGAAACUUCCUCCACAGUUCUCUGAGCCUCAUCGGCUCACCAUCGGUCUCACCUCAUCUAAUGUUGCGUUCUCUCGGUCCUUGCAGUCAUUCUUCUUAUCAAGAGAUUUCUGUCCCUGUUGUGUCCCCCUUGUUUGUCCUGUCCCGUGUCACGGGUGUCUGCACACAUUUGUGCCGGAGCUGCUCUGCCCUGCUGCAUAGUCUGGUGUAAUAGGACAAGUCCUGGGAACUUGAAAUGUGUAAUGUGGGGUUUAGUUGGACUCUAGAUGGUAUUCCUAGGUUGACCCAAGGUGUCUGGAGCUGUGAAGUUGUCCUGCAGCCCUUUGACAUUUGUCCUGACUCUCUUUCAGAUGCAGACAGAUAAAAUACAUGGCAGAGCACCCCAUCCCAGGAAGUGAAGCCUUAUAGCAACAGUCAAGUUGAAGUGGGCAAGG